GUAAACAGGGACACCGCGGGGACACGCCGCAGCUUGUCCGCCCUCCCGGGGCCUGGGGAUGGAGCCCACCUUCGUCCCCGCCUCGCCCUGCCCGCCUGGCACGGAGCGCGGGAGGGGCAGGCGCUGGUUUGGAGGGAGGCUGUCCUUGCAGAAAGCGGAGCAACACUGAGGACUUGUCCCCUGAUGGCAGUGCGAGCCACGGAAGAAUCCAGAGGAAACCAGACCUUUUCCCCAAACCAGAGCUCCCUCUGGGCUGGGUUUGCUCCAGGCCACGGCCACCUACCUUUCGUCUUCCAGGCUAGAAAUCUCAGACGCUGCCAAUUCUGUCUAAUCUUGCAAGUCUGUGCUCAAGGUCUGUCAUUUUUUCCUUUGAAAUAAAGCUCCAAUUUCCUCUGCCA